ensembl:lncRNA
UCAAUAAUUCUAGUAUUUUAUAUAAUUUUUCUCAAAUUUUCAAUUUUUUACAUAUCAUCAUAUAAUUUGCAAAUAAUGAAAAUGUUUUUCUUCCUUUUUAAAUCACUCUUUUUUGCUAUAUUACACUGGCAAAGAACUCCAGUAUAAUGUCGAGUAUAUAUAAUUUUAAUAAAUAUCCUUACCCUGUUCCCAUCGUGAUGGGAGCUUUUAAUAUUUUAUCAUGAAGUAUUAAAUUUGUUGCAUGUUUCUACAGAUAUUCUUCAUCUUAUAAGGAAGUCAAAUCAUACUUCUACUUUGCUAAGAACUGUAUUUUUAACCAUGGAUGGGUGUUGACUUUUAUCAAAUACUGCUUAUCUCCUUGGGUGAGGUUAUAUGGUUUUUCUCCUUUUGUUGUUAACAUGGUUCAUUACAUUAAAUACUUUAAGAUGUUAAAUUAACUAUAUAUUCUCAAAUAUAUUCUUUAUUCUUCAGUUCUAUUUAUUAAUAUUUUGCCAGCUCUCCAAUUUUUAUUUUUUUUUACUCUCCAUAAUAGGUUGUGGUAUCAAUAUAAUGCUACCCUCAUAAAACACAUUGGAAAAAUCUUCAUUAUUCUACUCUCUAGAUUGGAAAAUUGAAUACACAUCCCUCUAUUCAGAUGUUUUACUUCUCAUGGCAGUAAUAGAAGAGGAUCUUACCUCCUACCUCACACCUUUAGUUCUCUCUAAAGAAAUCCUCAUCACCAACUUCCCUAUGCUUCAAUUGCCUUAUGUAUAUAAGAGGUUUAAGGUAUGUAACAAGUUUUUGAUUAGUCGUUUGUAACUUACCUAUGGUCUAGCACUUUCCUUGGAAUCAGCUUCGAUUGUAUCCAGUGUUUGAGUGGAAACUUUCAACAUUUGGUAACAUACAUUUAGCCCUUGUUCAUUACCAAGCUUUUUGAAACGCACUUUCAAAAAGAAUGUUUCAGUUUCUUUCAAAAGAAACUGUUUCCCAAUCCAUAUUCUAUCCAUACUUACAAGUUAUAAUUAUAGUUUUUGUUUAAAUGCAACACCAGGAUUUAGAGAAGAAUCUUUGAAAAAUGCUGAACACUUGCAGUUUAUCAAUUUCUAAUCACUAAAAAAAUAUAUUUCACUAUUUUUCUAGAAACAUUACAGCAUGGCAGCUAUUUUGCUUCUUAAAUGUAAAUGGUUGGAUGCAAACCUUGUUUGAACAAAAUUUAGAGCCUUCACAGUUCACCCAAUCCAAAUGCAUAUGAUACUAUAUAACUAGAACAAAUUCUGACGAUAUAUUUAGAAAUCUGUAUCAGGUUUCUUCCUCUGAUGCUAAUUUAAAAAAAAAAAAAAAAAACAGAACCACCAUCUUCACUGGGCUGCAAUUGAAAUUACCAUGUACAUAUGUUUCUUUUUCAGCAUGUUUUAUGAUUUUUAUGUAAUUUGAAGAGAAAAAAAAAGAAUGAAUUGGUGUCUCAGUCCACUAGGAAUAGCUGUGUAUCACUAAGUAUACUAUUUGACCUCCCCAUACACACCUGUUCCCUAAUCUGUAAAAUGGGAGACACCAAACCCACCUCACAGAGUUAAUAAUGAAAUGAUUAACAGAUGUAAAGUGCUUAAAAAGAUCCCUACCAACAAAAGGUGCUAAAUAAGUUACUGUUUCUUCUCUCAGUUCUCUUUUUAUUCUCACUCCUGCUUUCAAUUAC